AGUUGUUGGCUUUGUACUACAUAUUAUAGGGAUGUAUUGAAAUUGCUUAGGGUCAUGUGUUAUUAGUAAGGAAGAAUAUGUUUAUCAAAUCAUGGGCAGAGCCAUAAAUGGUGAAACUAUGCUUUUGGAGAAGUACUAUUUAAUUAGCUAUUCAUCAGAAUUACUAAUAAAUAAUACAUUUUGCUCUGACAUCAGAGUUAUUUCUAAAGCAGUGGAAUAUUUUGGGUUUUAACACAGGUCAGCAAGGCACUUCUUAAAGAGUUUAUAACGGCUCAGAAGAGAAGCAAACCAUUUAAAGCUUUGGGAUCUGAACAUAUGAAUAAACUUGCCCCGUCAUUCCAUCUAACCUUACAAGUUCUGCUCUCCAAAGUCUCGAAUUUCAGAUGGAUGCAUUUUGCUUAAGCGAGCGGGAUCUACUGAAUCGCUUUGCUAUGGAAGUGUCCCAACGACAAAAAUAGGGAGAAAGCAAAGAGUACUAGGUCCUUCUGUUCCAGAGUUAUCAGCCUGCAGAGGAUUUGGGAAGAGCUUUCUCAGAUCGAUCAAUAUUGCAAACCUUCAUCAAUG